CCCUCCUUUUCUUUUCUCACCCUAAUCCCAGCCACACAUGUGGCUUUUCUGCACCAAGUGACAGCUUUAGCAACCUUCCAGAUUAAUGGUCAAAUGACCAUUUUGCCCCUAUCUUUGUUCAUUUACAUCUCAUUCGUUAUAACUACGUUUAGCAAAUGGUUUUCACCUACGCGCUUGUGGGAUCAAGCUCUAUCCAAAUAUGCUAAGAAAUACAACAAAUCAUAUAAGGAUAGAAUACGUUCUUGUAUAAUUAUGUUUAGCCAACUUGGGGCAUUUUCAUCUUUUCCACUUGUUGAACAAAUAUACGCCGUAAAUAUAAAUGUAUCAUAACUUCAAAUAUGACUACCAAAUAUUGAAUAAUAAAAUCCAAGAACAAAAUUUCACAUUUCCCCCCAUUUAAAUUUCAUAAUCGUCAAUUAAUUUGAAUUUCGUAACUAAAUCACAUAUUUAAAAAGGGUUGUGAUUUUCACACACCCUUAAGUACUUUUCCCACACCUCUUCCUAUUUUUUAAUAGUUAAUUGGUAUCCUAUUAUUUAAUAUUCCAUAUAUACCCUUCCUACUUUUUGAUGGUAAUUAAUGAAAGAUUAAAUAGGGAGGGGUAUAUAUGGAAGAUUAAAUAGUAGGAUACCAAUUAAGUACUAAAAAAUAGGGGUGUGGGAAAAGUAGUUAAGAGUGUGUGAAAAUCACAACGCAUUUAAAAAUAAUCAGGGUAUUACACAUGAAAACCUAAAACUUAAAACUAAACAAUAUAAACUUUCAUAUGAAACCAAAUGAAUGCCUUCAUCAUUGAUUUUCACCCACGACCUGCCUACAGCCUGCACCUUCACUUAAUAGAUAUUUUCUUCUAUUUUUAGAUGAGCCCCACCCAACUCAAUGACUGUCUUGUCGUCGUCAUCCGGACCUACUCUUGACUUAUCCCCAACCCUAUCUUCCUUAAUAAUUCAUGGUUGAGGGAAGCAAAAGUUAGAUCAUCCUCCCUAUCUGGCAAUGCAAACCCUAAACCCUUUACAUCCUCAUUCGACAGCACGUUUGGAUCAUCCCCGAACAUCUUAUUGAUCAUUGACCAACUUACAUCCUUCUCUUCCUGAUCACAUCCACAAUUCUCUACUGUUCGUCUCUCCUAAUAGAAGCAAACCUCAAACAGCUUUUCAUAAUUGAGAAAAGUUGGCAACUUUUCCCGUUCACCACUAGAACUCGCUUAAGUGGCAGACAAACAUCCACAUCUAUUAACACUCGAAUAGCCAUUGCAUUAAGGGAAUUAAUAGAUGCAUCAUCAUCAAAUCCAAUCUUCACCCCAGCUUACUAUUUCUGCGUCUUUUUCCCUCUUGAACGCGCGAACUCUCAGCCCCCUUUCUCUUUGAAUGAAAGAUGCCCGCUGAAAAAAAUUCAAAGUUUUUUCGUUCCACUGGGUCACACCAACCCUAUUCUAUCAUGAGCUCAAGAAAUCAGGAUUGUCUGAUUGUCAUCCGUACACAAGGUAUGUUUCUAAGGUUUGCACCUUAGAAACGCCCAUGGCCACAAAGCAGGCCAUAAUGUGCCCAAAUUUUCAUUAAUUUCUCCUUUGACUUUUUCACGGGAAAUUGUUUAAGUUUAAAAAAAUAUUUUUAAUAUUAGGAUUUAGGACUGAAUAAAUCAACAUUUAUAAUUUUAAAGCUAUCAAUGAAGGGAAGUAAUAGUAAGUAUUACUGAUCUUAAUUGGAAAAAAAAAUAUUUUUAUUGUCCUUUGGUUUAAUAGGAGAAUUGUUUUUAUUGACAUUUAUUAGAACUAUAAUGACCUUUGAUCAUUAAUAUUAAUUCUUUAAUCUAUUUAUUUUAACCUUUCAAAGAGAGAGAGAGGUUGCGAUCCAUCAUUAGUCCUAGACCUGUAAAUGGGUCGGGUUUAUCUGGUUUGAGUCGGGUUCAAUCCAACCCGUUAUGCUAACAUGUCUCCUAAACUUGACCCGUUAAGCUAACGGGUUACCCAAACCCAACCCGUUAAUCCAAUAGGUCACCCAUUUCACUCGUUAACACCUGUUAACAAAUAUUUUUUUUUGGUCGGUGCUGCAAUUGACUGUUAGUGGCUUUGCUGACUAGCUGGGAGGUCGAGGUCGAGGAGGAAGCUGCACACGAACAAGUGUCAUGUUACGCCCAUGUGCUCCCACCAUAUCAUCUCACAUCUCUUUUCAGGCAACCUUUACCUCAUCUUUUACCCUGCUCGA
rnacentral:lncRNA from 1 species